rnacentral:rRNA from 1 species
GGCUACAGAACGAACGCUGGCGGCAUGCCUAAUACAUGCAAGUCGAACGGAGAUAGCAAUAUCGUAGUGGCGAACGGGUGCGUAACACGUGAGCAACUACCUGUACACAGGAAUAACAGUUGGAAACGACUGCUAAAACCGGAUAAGACCACACCGAGGCAUCUCGGAGAGGCCAAAAUGGAAUAAGUGGUACAAGAUGGGCUCGCGUCCAAUUAGCUAGUUGGUGGGGUAACGGCCCACCAAGGCGACGAUUGGUAGCCGACUUGAGAGAGUGAACGGCCACACUGGAACUGAGACACGGUCCAGACUCCUACGGGAGGCAGCAGUAGGGAAUAUUGGGCAAUGGAGGAAACUUCCUUACCCAGCAAUGCCGCGUGAAUGAUGAAGGUCUUAUGGAUUGUAAAGUUCUUUAAUUGGGGACGAAAAAAUGACGGUACCCAAGGAAUAAGCCCCGGCUAACUAUGUGCCAGCAGCGGC